rnacentral:ncRNA from 31 species
GGUUGGGUUUUAUUAAAAACUUUCAAGAUUAGCUUAUUUGGGUCAAUAAGC